rnacentral:rRNA from 1 species
GACGUAGGGUGCAAGCGUUGUCCGGAUUUAUUGGGCGUAAAGAGCUCGUAGGCGGCUUGUUGCGUCGACUGUGAAAACCCGCGGCUUAACCGCGGGCUUGCAGUCGAUACGGGCAGGCUAGAGUUCGGUAGGGGAGACUGGAAUUCCUGGUGUAGCGGUGAAAUGCGCAGAUAUCAGGAGGAACACCGGUGGCGAAGGCGGCAUCCUGGACCAUGACUGACGCUGAGGAGCGAAAGCCAGGGGAGCAAACGGG